rnacentral:rRNA from 1 species
GUGGGGAAUCUUAGACAAUGGGGGCAACCCUGAUCUAGCCAUGCCGCGUGAGUGAUGAAGGCCUUAGGGUUGUAAAGCUCUUUCAGUGGGGAAGAUAAUGACGGUACCCACAGAAGAAGCCCCGGCUAACUCCGUGCCAGCAGCCGCGGUAAUACGGAGGGGGCUAGCGUUGUUCGGAAUUACUGGGCGUAAAGCGCACGUAGGCGGAUCGGAAAGUUGGGGGUGAAAUCCGAGGGCUCAACCCUGGAGCUGCCUUCAAAACUAUCGGUCUGGAGUCCGAGAGAGGUGAGUGAAAUUCCGAGUGUAGAGGUGAAAUUCGUAGAUAUUCGGAGGAACACCAGUGGCGAAGGCGGCUCACUGGCUCGGUACUGACGCUGAGGUGCGAAAGCGUGGGGAGCAAACAGGAUUAGAAACCCGAGUAGUCC